AGUGAACGCUGGCGGUAGGCCUAACACAUGCAAGUCGAACGGCAGCACAGAGGAGCUUGCUCCUUAGGUGGCGAGUGGCGGACGGGUGAGGAAUACAUCGGAAUCUACUCUGUCGUGGGGGAUAACGUAGGGAAACUUACGCUAAUACCGCAUACGACCUACGGGUGAAAGCAGGGGACCUUCGGGCCUUGCGCGAUUGAAUGAGCCGAUGUCGGAGUAGCUAGUUGGCGGGGUAAAGGCCAACCAAGGCGACGAUCCGUAGCUGGUCUGAGGGGAUGAUCAGCCACACUGGAACUGAGACACGGACCAGACUCCUACGGGAGGCAGCAGUGGGGAAUAUUGGACAAUGGGCGCAAGCCUGAUCCAGCCAUACCGCGUGGGUGAAGAAGGCCUUCGGGUUGUAAAGCCCUUUUGUUGGGAAAGAAAUCCAGCUGGCUAAUACCCGGUUGGGAUGACGGUACCCAAAGAAUAAGCACCGGCUAACUUCGUGCCAGCCGCCGCCGUAA
rnacentral:rRNA from 1 species